ACGAGCACAUCUUGCAAACCGUCAAUUAGGAUCCAUCAGCAAAUUUCUGUGGCAUCGUUGCAGUUCUAGUUCGCACGCUCGUAGGAUCAAGGAACCUCACUUUGAGCAGAUGGAGGUUUCUCGCGAAUCUGCGGCCGCCCCUUAUGAGCAACAACCAGCUACAGUAUCCAAUGAACCAACAUUUGCAAUUCCACAAUCUAGGCGUCCAUUGCCAGCACAGGUUUGCUCCUGGCUGAGCUUCUGCUUUUCUUCUGUAGGAUCAGGCAGACAAACCACCGUUGGCAGCAAUGGCGCAUGUGCAUUCGCAUCAUCCUGCUUCAUCAAAUCUUGGAGUGUGUAUCUCGCUGUUUUGAUAUGCUUUGUUUGCGAGACGCCUUGGUGGAAUGUGUGCUAGAAGAUCUGAAGAAAGAAUACCAUAUGCCUGCAGAGUCCGCUUGUGGCCAAUGCCACUGUUGUUGAUGCGAGCAGCCGCGGUGCAGACGGAGCUAGCGGCAAUUCCGGGUCCUUCACAUUCAGCGUACCAGCACCAGUGCA
rnacentral:lncRNA from 1 species